rnacentral:tRNA from 1 species
GGCCCGGUAGCUCAGUUGGUAGAGCAGCGGAAUGAAAAUCCGCGUGUCGGUGGUUCGAAUCCGCCUCUGGGCACCA